CUAGGAAGACAACCCACAAAACUUUAUGCAACCAGGGGCAUAGUUGGAAGUACAGGCCAAAAUGUGGAUGAGUAUUAAAGAGCAGAAAUAGAAGCUAAACUGGUUUUACUUAAGUAUCAAAGGACUUGAUUGAAAUCCUUUCUUUGAUCAUGUUUCUCCUUGUGGCGAAAGACCAAGGAAGUUGCAUCUUCCUAUUUGAAAGAGAUCUCCACUAAACCUUCUUUGUGAUGCAUAAAACUACGACCGAUAGAUUGGAUAAGUUGAGGGAUGGGAUAGAUAAUCAUACCUACGGACUUUUGUUUCGUCACAUGGAAGAUAUAAGUUGCAAGCCCGAGCGGAACGGCUUUCCUUAUAGCCAUAAUGACUGCACUAACAACUCGAAAAACUGUUGUCGGUUAUACGGGUACGCUUCUUGCCCAGCGAGCAUAGUUCUAGGAGUAUAAUAUUAGAGACUAUUGGGGUUGUGAAGCGAUGGUGCCCACA